rnacentral:tRNA from 2 species
GUGCCUAUGGUGUAAUGGUUAGCACUCGGCUCUGUGAAAGCCGCAGCAUGGGUUCGAAUCCCAUUAGGCACC